AAAUCGACAUGACUAAACCACUUCUACUGGUGAUGUGUUCGAAUCGUUUGUUUUGGUGUCUUAAAGAGGGUCUAACACAAUUCUAGGAGAUGAUCUCAAAAGCUACUAUUUUACUUGUCUUGUAUUCGUUGGGUCAUGUGCAGCCAAAUGCAGUUAAAUCAAUGUAGAGACUAGAGGGUGGAACUUGAUGAAGAGAUGGAGAGGAAUAUUAGAGAAUCCACUGCUGAAGCUGUGGGAGCAAACUGAGGACCAAAUCCAUCAUCAUCUAAGCCUUGUUUCAACUCUAUGGGUUAGGUUUUGCUUCUAAGAAAGAGCAUGACUAGAGAUGACAAAGCAACUGCCUCAACUGACAAGAUCAUAUGCGCCUUUCUCCAGAUUUGGUCAUGCCUUCAAAGUUAGCAGAUAGCAGCAGACCCCAUACCUUAUGCACAUUGAAAAGGAAAGAACUGGGGGAAGGUGCAUUAAAUAGUUUAUCAAUUUGGGUCAACUUCCAACCGGCCCUAAUUUGCCAAAUACUUUGGAAGGCUUAGAUUGAUGUCCUACUGUCCUACUGCUACAGGCUUCAAUUAGGCAAUUAG